rnacentral:rRNA from 1 species
UACGGAGGGUCCAAGCGUUAUCCGGAUUCACUGGGUUUAAAGGGUGCGUAGGUGGGUUGGUAAGUCAGUGGUGAAAUCUCCAGGCUUAACUUGGAAACUGCCAUUGAUACUAUCAAUCUUGAAUACCGUGGAGGUCAGCGGAAUAUGUCAUGUAGCGGUGAAAUGCUUAGAUAUGACAUAGAACACCAAUUGCGAAGGCAGCUGGCUACACGAAUAUUGACACUGAUGCACGAAAGCGUGGGGAUCAAACAGG